GACAGAGGGUGCAAACGUUGUUCGGAAUUACUGGGCGUAAAGCGUGUGUAGGCGGCCGCGACAGUCGGAUGUGAAAGCCCUGGGCUCAACUCAGGAAGUGCACCCGAUACUACGUGGCUCGAGUACCGGAGAGGUUGGUGGAAUUCUCGGUGUAGAGGUGAAAUGCGCAGAGUAUCGGGAAGAACACCCGUGGCGGAAGGCGGCUCUCUGGGACGGUACUGACGCUGAGACGCGAAAGCGU
rnacentral:rRNA from 1 species